rnacentral:rRNA from 1 species
AGAGUUUGAUCCUGGCUCAGGAUGAACGCUAGCUACAGGCUUAACACAUGCAAGUCGAGGGGAAACGACAUCGAAAGCUUGCUUUUGAUGGGCGUCGACCGGCGCACGGAUGAGUAACGCGUAUCCAACCUGCCCACCACUUGGGGAUAACCUUGCGAAAGUAAGACUAAUACCCAAUGACGUCUCUAGAAGACAUCUGAAAGAGAUUAAAGAUUUAUCGGUGAUGGAUGGGGAUGCGUCUGAUCAGCUUGUUGGCGGGGUAACGGCCACCAAGGCGACGAUCAGUAGGGGUUCUGGGAGGAAGGUCCCCCANAUUGGAACUGAGACACGGUCCAAACUCCUACGGGAGGCA